CAAUAGCGUAUAUUAAAGUUGUUGCAGUUAAAAGCUCGUAGUUGGAUUUCUGGCAGUGUGACUCCGGCCGGCGUGAUGCCGGCUCGAGCGCGCUACCAUCCUUCUGUCAACCUUCGCGGGUUUUACCGCCCGCCCUGGGGCUCAGAUAUUUUACCUUGAGAAAAUUAGAGUGUUUCAGGCAGGCUAUCGCCGGAAUACAUUAGCAUGGAAUAAUGGAAAAGGACUUCAACCUCUUCUGUUGGUCUGAGAGGCUGUAGUAAUGAUUAAUAGGGAUAGUUGGGGGCAUUAGUACUUGACUGUCAGAGGUGAAAUUCUCCGAUUUGUUAAAGACGGACUACUGCGAAAGCAUUUGCCAAGGAUGUUUUUCUAUUGAUAC
rnacentral:rRNA from 1 species